GGUGUGCACUUGCACGUGGGAGGGGGGCUUGCACGGGGCUGUGCAUGCUCACGCAGCACUGUGGGCGAUGCACAAGGGCACAAGCUUGCACAGAAGCACGCUUGGACAAGGGCUGAGUGUGGGUUUGCGCACAGGAGCGUGCUGGCACAGGGGCCGUGUGCUCACCGUGCAUGGCAUGAGCGUGUUUGCACGGGGCUGUGUGUGCUUGCACGGGGGUGUGCCCCCCAGGGGACCACGCACCUUCCCACGGCAGCUGCGCGUGCCCCUUGCACGAGGCCUUGCACAAGGGCUGGCUCACACAGGCCCAGCACACGCCUUCCCCUGGCACAGGGCAUUUGCACAAGGUGCCUUGCACGAGGCUGCCCUUGCACAAGCGUGGCAGUUGGGCACUGGUGACGCGGUGCUUACAAGAGGUGCGCGUGCCCUUGCACAGGCUAACACGGGCCUUGCACAGAGCCCUUUGCGCAAGCGUGUGAGCGUGUGUGCUCACAGGGGCGUGCAAGCCUCUAGCACGAGGGUUUGACCUCACGGCGUGCACACCUAGAGGCGCGUGCUGGGUGGGUCCUUUGCACUGGGGUGUGCACACGCUGGGGACGUCUGCUCACGGGCGUGCUUGUGCCCCUCGCAUGAGGCUGCACUCUCAGCAAGCGAGGGGGCACAGGGGGUGCGUGUGCCCUUUGCACAGGGGUGCAGGCUCCCUGGGGCACCUGCAGACCCCUCGCUGCUGGCUGCAAUCUCCUUGGGGUGCGUGCAAGCCCCUUACGGGGGGGGGGGGGGGGGUGCAGGCUUUUUGGGGUGCAUGCAAGCUCUUAGCAAACAGGUGCACGGUCUUGGGGUGCACGCGGACCCCUUGCAAACAGGUGCAUGCUCCACAGGGUGCAUGCAAGCCCCUUGCAGAUGGGUGCAGGCUUUUUGGGGUGCAUGCAAACUCUUAGCAAACAGGUGCAGGCUAUUGGGGUGCACACAAACCUCUUUUAAAUGGGUGCAUGCUCCAUGGGGUGCACGCAAGCCCCUAGCAGAUGGGUGCAGGCUCUUUGGGGUGCAUGAAGCCCCUUGCAAAGGGGUGCAGCCUGUUGGGGUGCAUGAGAACCCCUCCUAAAUGGGUGCACACUCUUUGGGGUGCACGCAGCCCCCUAGCAAAUGGAUGCGGGCUUUUUGGGGCGCACGCAAACCCCUUACAAAUGGGUGCACUCUUUGGGGCGCACGCAAGCUCUUAGCAAACGGGUGCACGCUCCCUGGGGUGCAUGAAGCCCCCCUGGCAGAGGGGAGCAGCCCCCCGGGGUGCACGCAGCCCCCCCCCCCAGGACCCCGUGGGCGCACUGACCGUGUCCCCGCAG